rnacentral:rRNA from 1 species
AGUGAACGCUGGCGGUAGGCCUAACACAUGCAAGUCGAACGGCAGCACAGUAAGAGCUUGCUCUUACGGGUGGCGAGUGGCGGACGGGUGAGGAAUACAUCGGAAUCUACUUUUUCGUGGGGGAUAACGUAGGGAAACUUACGCUAAUACCGCAUACGACCUACGGGUGAAAGCAGGGGAUCUUCGGACCUUGCGCGAUUGAAUGAGCCGAUGUCGGAUUAGCUAGUUGGCGGGGUAAAGGCCCACCAAGGCGACGAUCCGGAGCUGGUCUGAGAGGAUGAUCAGCCACACUGGAACUGAGACACGGUCCAGACUCCUACGGGAGGCAGCAGUGGGGAAUAUUGGACAAUGGGCGCAAGCCUGAUCCAGCCAUACCGCGUGGGUGAAGAAGGCCUUCGGGUUGUAAAGCCCUUUUGUUGGGAAAGAAAAGCAGCAGGUUAAUACCCCGCUGUUCUGACGGUACCCAAAGAAUAAGCACCGGCUAACUUCGUG